UGGUGAUUUGUUCUAUUCCGUGUAUAUAUUGGAUAAUCUUAAUGUUUUUCAUCAACUCACAGUCAGAGGAAACGUGAAGGUCGUGCACCCUAACGUCAACAAUUUUGUUCAAAUUCAUUGUAUUUUACCGAAUGUGUCAUCGAAAUGAUACAGAUUCUAUGCUAGAUAACUGACUCCAGAAUGGAUCAAUCUCUCAUUCCAUCUUCUAGAGAAUCUCGGAUAACUGAUAGGUGGUUUCAUGUGUUUCUAAAUUUGGCGUGACAGACUUUUGAGAAGUUAUGUCCUUUCAAGAAAAAGGACUUACAGUCGACAAGAUUCCUUGUUUGCUAACCCAUUGGCUGCUACCCUUGAAUCUCCCUAUUUGUCAAAAACAAAAAAAGAGGCUAAAUAUUAUGUUGCCUAUAAGAUCAAAUGUGGGGCAUCUGGUUAUCCCUCCAAAAUAAGGCAAUGACCACACGUUCAACGCGGAUCAUUCAUUUUGUCAUCGAACUUGACUCAUUCCAUCUUCUGAAUUGCUUAGGAAAGCUGAUUGGUGUUACCUGUUCAUUUAGGUAAUGACCGAGAAGAUGCGGCCUACAUGAAAAUCAUUUAGGCGGCCAGCAUCAUUCGACUACCCAACCGGCUUCUACUACCUACCUAACCCUGCUCUCAACACAGCACGGAGUUUUACCCUAUAGAUUUUUGGCUGUUCGCGAUGUGUCAUGAUUCAAUUACCGGUUCUAACCUUCAGGUUCCUAAAUUUGCAUGACAAACUUUAUGAAAAGUAAUGUUCUUUCAAGAAAGUCAACAAGGUCCCUUGUUUGCUAACCCAAUGGCUGCUACCCUUGAAUCUCCCUAUUUAGUUCCUUACACAGGCCCUCUUGAUUGGAGGGUAAUCCUUCGCUACUGAUCAUGGACUCCAUUGGUGAAACUGAAAAC
rnacentral:lncRNA from 1 species